AACUGCGAAUGGCUCAUUAAAUCAGUUAUGAUCUACGUGACAUAUUUCUUUACUACUUGGAUAACCGUGGUAAUUCUAGAGCUAAUACAUGCAAAAAAGCCCUGACUUCGGAAGGGGUGCACUUAUUAGAUAAAGCCAACGCUGGGUAAAACCAGUUUUCCUUGGUGAUUCAUAAUAAUUUAGCGGAUCGCAUGGCCUUGUGCUGACGGUCCACUCGAUUUUCUGCCCUAUCAUGGUUGAGAUUGUAAGAUAGAGGCUUACAAUUACAACGGGUAACGGGGAAUUAGGGUUCGAUUCCGGAGAGGGAGCCUGAGAAACGGCUACCACAUCCAAGGAAGGCAGCAGGCGCGCAAAUUACCCAAUCCCGACACGGGGAGGUAGUUAAAUAACAAUGCAGGGCCUUUAAGGUCUUGCAAUUGGAAUGAGUACAAUUUAAAUCCCUUAACGAGGAUCAAUUGGAGGGCAAGUCUGGUGCCAGCAGCCGCGGUAAUUCCAGCUCCAAUAGCGUAUAUUAAAGUUGUUGCAGUUAAAACGUCCGUAGUCAAAUUUUGUAUCUUUAGGCGAAGUGGCCUGGUCUUCAUUGCCGAACUUAGCCAAAUAAUUACCAUGAGCAAGUAUCAGAGUGUUUAAAGCAGGCUUUUAAGCUUGAAUGUGUUAGCAUGGAAUAAUGAAAUAUGACUUCAGUCCCUAUUUCGUUGGUUCAGGAACUAGAGUAAUGAUGAAUAGAAACGGUUGGGGGCAUUUGUAUUUGGUCGCUAGAGGUGAAAUUCUUGGAUUGACCGAAGACAAACUACUGCGAAAGCAUUUGACCCAGGACGUUUUCAUUGAUCAAGGUCUAAAGUUAAGGGAU
rnacentral:rRNA from 1 species